rnacentral:rRNA from 1 species
UGCCAGCAGCCGCGGUAAAACGUAGGAGGCAAGCGUUAUCCGGAGUUACUGGGCGUAAAGCGUGCGUAGGCGGCGAGGUAAGUCAGAUGUGAAAGCUCGGGGCUCAACCCCGAAAAUGCAUCCGAUACUGCCUUGCUAGAGUGAUGGAGGGGAGUCUGGAAUUCACGGUGUAGCAGUGAAAUGCGUAGAUAUCGUGAGGAACACUAGUGGCGAAGGCGAGACUCUGGACAUCUACUGACGCUCAGGCACGAAGGCUAGGGUAGCGAAGCGGAUUAGAUA